CUUUAACAUGUGGAUAAUAAAUAAUCUUAAUCUUAAUCUGUGUUGGCGGACAGUCAAGUCUCUGCAGUGACGGUUGUGUUUUCCCGCAGGAGACGGUGAAGCGCAGUCCCAGCCGAGGAUCUCAGGAGUCAGGGCCGUCACCGCCCGGGAAGAAGGACAGCGAGCUGGAGGUCAUCCUGAGACGCCGGCGUAACAAGGCGGGAGAGGCUGGCUCCGGAGGUAAACACAGAGACGGAGGACGAUAAAAGCCUCAUGGUCUCAUCUUUUUUUCUUUUUGUUUUGAACUAAAUCUGGUUUUUAUCUUUACAACAACGAAAACUAAAGUGGUUUCAUGAACAUUUUUGGAGUUUUAAUCUACCUCUUAAAGUUGUAAAUAUGUGUUGUCAAAUCACUGAUUCAGUUAAAAUUAAGACAAUAUUCCUUUACAGGAACAAGACUGGCAUUUGGAGACCUUCGGAGGACUUCCUGGUGGAGUUGCCAAAUGUCCCCGCCCUCAGGCUCGCGUCACGACUGACUUAAAGAAAACCCGCGCAGCAUUUAUUUUUUAAUUGUGCGACCUUGCACAGACACAAAAUAGUAGAUACGUACAAGCACAAUUCAUCCAAUGAUUGUUUGGUAUGAAGGAGUAUGAGGGCCAUAUUGAGAUUGAAGACUUUAAAGACGUCGAGAUGGCUAUUCGUAUCGUCGACCAAAACAUGGCAGAAUGACGACUAUUGAAAAGGAUAUUGACCAUGUUUUAUAUUAAUAUUGAGGGAAAUUAAAUUUUGAUGUAUAUAGUUAUUGUUUUAUCUCCCAGCCCUACCUACAAUGAAAACAACAU